GAUGAACGCUGGCGGUAUGCUUUACACAUGCAAGUCAUACGGAAGUUAGUUUCGGCUAACUUCAGUGGCGGACGGGUGAGUAACACGUGAGAAUUCGCCUUUAGGAGGGGGAUAAUAGGGGGAAACACCUGCUAAAACCCCAUAUGCCUUCGGGUCAAAAGAGAAAUCUGCCUAAAGAGAAGCGCGCGGCUGAUUAGCUAGUUGGUGGGGUAAAGGCCUACCAAGGCGAAGAUCAGUAGCUGGUCUGAGAGGAUGAUCAGCCACACUGGAACUGAGACACGGUCCAGACUCCUACGGGAGGCAGCAGUGAGGAAUUUUCUGCAAUGGGCGAAAGCCUGACAGAGCAAUACCGCGUGAGGGAAGAAGGCUUACUGAGUUGUAAACCUCUGUUACCUAAGGAGGAAGAUCUGACGUUACUUAGGAGACGAAGCAUCGGCUAACUCCGUGCCAGCAGCCGCGGUAAUAC
rnacentral:rRNA from 1 species